rnacentral:rRNA from 1 species
UACGAAGGGGGCUAGCGUUGCUCGGAAUCACUGGGCGUAAAGGGUGCGUAGGCGGGUUUUUAAGUCAGGGGUGAAAUCCUGGAGCUCAACUCCAGAACUGCCCUUGAUACUGGCGGUCUCGAGUCCGGGAGAGGUGAGUGGAACUGCGAGUGUAGAGGUGAAAUUCGUAGAUAUUCGCAAGAACACCAGUGGCGAAGGCGGCUCACUGGCCCGGUACUGACGCUGAGGUGCGAAAGCGUGGGGAGCAAACAGG